rnacentral:lncRNA from 13 species
ACAUGAUAUCAUUUAGUUUAGUAAGAUAGGUAAGAAACGAGAUCAUUGUAAAUUUUAUGUAUUAUAUUACUAAAUGUAAGGAUCACUUAUGUUCAUAAAAUGAGUAGGGUAUCUAUCACUAUAUAACAAAUCACUCCAAAACUUAGUGGCUUAGAAUAAGUAUGUUAUCGUAUUACUAUUUCUCAUGAUUUGGGGGUUCAACUGAAAGAAUGGAGUUAUUCUCUAAAGCUUCCAUACUCACAUAUCUGGCUAGUGAUGUUGAGGCUGUUGAACUUUUGCCUGAAACGCCCACAUAAUGGAACACUGUGGCCUCUCCACGUGGCCUAAAUUUCCUCACAGCGUGGGAGCUGGGUCCCAAGAGUGAUCAUCCCAAGCACGCCUGGCAGCAGCUGUGCUGACUCGUAGGACCUAACCUUAGAGUUAAGGUUAGAAGCAUGGCUAAACUGCUGUGUCACGGUCCUGCCUGGAUUCGAAGAAGAGGAAGAUAGUCCCUGCCUCUCAGAGUGAGGAGUGACAACUCGCAUGUUAAGAUGAGCAGACAGAGUUUUGCUCUGUCACCAGGCUGGAGUGCGGUGGUGCCAUCUCGGCUCACUGCAACCUCCACCUUUCGGGUUCAAGUGAUUCUCCUGCCUCAGCCUCCUGAGUAGCUGAGAUUACAGAGGUGAGCCACCACACCCAGCUAAUUUUCACCACGUUGGCCAGGAUAGUCUCAAUCUCUUGACCUUGUGAUCUGUCCGCCUUGGCCUCCCAAAGUGCUGGGAUUACAAGCGUGAGCCACCACACCUGUCUGUCUAAUGAUAAAACCUUUUAAGUCUUUGCUUUACGGUUGUUGUCCUUAGAGCUUUCAUGGUCCAAGAGCUUCAUCAUAUGUGUGUAGACACUACAAACUUGUAAUUAUCCACUCUGGAUCCACCAUAAUCUGGAUCUUUUUCCUGGUAUGUCAUAUGCCUGGUAUGUCAUAUAAAUAUAUAUAUAUUUAUUUAUAUAAUAUAUAUGACAAA